UACGGAGGGUGCAAGCGUUGUUCGGAAUCACUGGGCGUAAAGCGCGUGUAGGCGGCCUCCUCAGUCUGGUGUGAAAGCCCGGGGCUCACCCCCGGAAGUGCAUUGGAUACUGGGAGGCUGGAGUACCGGAGAGGAGGGUGGAAUUCCUGGUGUAGCGGUGAAAUGCGUAGAUAUCAGGAGGAACACCGGUGGCGAAGGCGGCCCUCUGGACGGAUACUGACGCUGAGACGCGAAAGCGUGGGGAGCAAACAGG
rnacentral:rRNA from 1 species